ensembl:snoRNA
AUCCUUUUGUAGUUCAUAAGCAUGAUGAUUGACUUCUCAUGCUAUUGUGUGAGAUGUGCCUCCUCAAAUUUUGUUGCAACAUCGGCACAUUACUGAACUGAUA